GAUGAACUGUUUUCAGCCAGGGUCACCCCAGCCCUGGGGUGGAGGCCCAUUCAGGAUGGUCGAGCAGGUGUGGGCGUCCAGGCAGGUCCAGCAGUCCUGGGGGGCUGAGGAGAAGGAGGUCAGGGCUCAGGGAGGCAUCCGCAGAGGGACCUGGCAGGCAGAGCUCCGGAAGGGAGGGAACUGCACAGACAGAAAGCUCCAGAAGGCUGCCUGAGGGUCUCUGAGGCCUCCGGAGUCGGGCGCCAUGCAUGUGGAAGGUGGACUCUUCAGCAUGGGUGGGACCCUAGGGGGCUGUGGACCCCCGGCCCCUGGGACUCACAGGUGGGAGACAGGAGUUCCGACCGCCAGGGGCGGAGUCCUGGAGGAUCCUGGGCUGUCGGCAGCCACCCAGCAGGGCCCGUCCUGGGAGCCGGGCUGGACUCUUCCUGCAGGAAAGGCUGGGCUGGACCUGCUCUAAGAGGCUUCAGAACCAGCCACAGGAAGACCAAAGUGAAGAGCAAGGAGCUGAACUCCACGCAGAACACAGCGCAGAGUCCUUUAAAGGAAGGCCAAAAGCAACCCAACAAAAAUGCCAGGUGAUCAAAGCCCUCACAACACAAUGUCCACAUCCAACGAGAAAUUGCUGCUACGUCCAGACACAGGGAAAGGUGGCCGUGGGAAUGUGAGUCAGCAGCAACAGGCCCAGAAGGGCAGCCAUGGUGGAGUUGUCAGACAUGGACCCUGAAAUGACAAUUACAGCGUGAUUUCAGGCAGGAGCCUGAAAUGGUACAACUUUGGACAUCGGUUUGGCAAAUUCUUUGAGAGAGAAACACACACCUUCCCUAGGACCCGGCAACUCCACUCCUAGUAACCAAGUGAAAUGGAAGGAGUUGUCCUCAGUAAAACGUGUGUGCGGAAGUUCACACUCACUUCCUCUGUGAUAACCAAGAGCUGAAACCACUGCAACACCCACCAGCAGGUGAACGGAUGAACACACUGGGCUACGGCCACACAAUGAGAUGCUACGUGGCAACACAAAAUGAACCGUGGACACACACUGCAUGGUGGAUGAAUGUGCAGACAUCAGGCCCCGUGAAGGGAGCCAGGCCCCGAGGCGCCACGCUUUGUGAUUCAGGGUGGUCCCUCUGCCCCCAAGACCCAGCUGCCUCUUCCUCUUCCUGGCUGCAGGGAGUGCUUGUGUCUGAAGAACGCCAGGCCGGUGUCCCCAGAGGGUGGCUGGAGGGGCUGGGAAACCACAAACCACUUUCACUUUCUCUCUCCUCCACGUCUGCAUUGUUUGGAGAAGAAAGCACGCAGCCAAACAGUGUAAAGAGGCUCAGAGGAGGCCUGGGUGCCCUGGAGAGGCCCUGCGUCGCACAGCAUCCCUGUCCUGCAGUGGAGGUUUCCCAGAUGAAGGGGUCCCCGGCGGGAGACAGGGCCCUGCACACAGGUCCUCUGCCACGCUGCUCACCAUGCUGUGCGUUAUCUCACUAUGAAAAGUCACCUAGGCCGAGCACGGUGGCUCGCGCCUGUAAUCCCGGCACUUUGGGAGGUGGAGGUGUGCGGAUCACUUGAGAUCAGGAGUUUGAGACCAUCCUGACUAACAUGGUGAAACCCCGUCUCUAGGAAGAAUACAAAAAUUAACUGGG
rnacentral:antisense_RNA from 1 species